rnacentral:rRNA from 1 species
AUACGGAGGGUGCAAGCGUUACUCGGAAUCACUGGGCGUAAAGCGCGCGCAGGCGGCUAUUUAAGUUGGAUGUGAAAGCCUACGGCUCAACCGUAGAACUGCAUCCGAAACUAUUUAGCUAGAGUGUGGGAGAGGAAGAUGGAAUUAGUUGUGUAGGGGUAAAAUCCGUAGAGAUAACUAGGAAUACCAAAAGCGAAGGCAAUCUUCUGGAACACUACUGACGCUGAGGCGCGAAAGCGUGGGGAGCAAACGGGAUUAGAAACCCCAGUAGUCC